UGAUGGACUUGCAAAAGCUGCAUUUCCUUUUCAUCCAGGAUAGCUCAUCUUAAUAGUAUGUAUGCAACACUUCUAUCUUGUCUUGAGGCUUGACAGUCGUGUCUUAAAACACCAAGUGGUUCAAUGGAAAAGGGAAAGUUUCGACCUGGUGAUGUUGGCUCCACCAUAGAGGUUGAGCCGAGUGAUUCAGAAGAUUCCACAACUAAUUGCACGGAUCAGCUUAUUGGAGCACACCCAAAGACCACAUUAAAGUGUUGAAAUUAACCCUGUAAAAGCCUUCUCUAUAUGACUUGAAUAAACAAUGCCUGUGGCACAGUUUAAGUUGCAUGACCCACAGAGAAUGCUGUAAUCAGUCAACACAUUUCUCCUAAAUGUGUUCAAGUCACACCGAGAGAUAUGGAGAUGUUUUCAGACUGACUCACAGAAGAACAGAACAAAUGCCAAACUGGAUUUACUGUUUGUGAAAGUGAUUGAAACUAACAACACAAUUUGUGACAAUGUUAGUUUCCAUGAAAUGUAUUCUUACUUGUUAUUCCAAAUAAAAAAUAAAACCUUCAAGUUGCCUUCUG